UACGUAGGUGGCGAGCGUUGUCCGGAAUUACUGGGCGUAAAGAGCGCGCAGGCGGCUGGUCAAGUCCGACGUGAAAUCUCCCGGCUUAACUGGGAAAUUGCAUCGGAAACUGAUCGGCUUGAAGGUGGGAGAGGGUAGCGGAAUUCCCGGUGUAGUGGUGAAAUGCGUAGAUAUCGGGAGGAACACCCGUGGCGAAGGCGGCUCUCUGGGACGGUAC
rnacentral:rRNA from 1 species